CACGUAGUUAGCCGUCCCUUUCUGGUAAGCUACCGUCACGAGUGUGAACUUUCCACUCUCACACCCGUUCUUGACUUACAACAGAGCUUUACGAUCCGAAAACCUUCUUCACUCACGCGGCGUUGCUCGGUCAGGGUUCGCCCCCAUUGCCGAAGAUUCCCUACUGCUGCCUCCCGUAGGAGUCUGGGCCGUGUCUCUACGUCCCAGGUGUCGGCCGAUCCACCCUCUCGACGGUCGGCUAUGUAUCGUCGCCGUAGGUGAC
rnacentral:rRNA from 1 species